AAAAAAGCUGUGUGUAUAUCUAAGGUGCCCGUACCGCAAACCGACACAGGUAGGUAGGAAGAAGAUUCUAAGGCCAACGGGAGAAGGGUUGUUAAGGAACUCGGCAAGUUGACCCCGUAACUUCGGAAUAAGGGGUGCUCACGAGAGUGAGCCGCAGAGAAUAGGCCCAGGCAACUGUUUACCAAAAACACAGGUUUGUGCUAAAUCGAAAGAUGACGUAUACGAGCUGACGCCUGCCCGGUGCUGGAAGGUUAAAAGGAGAUGUGCAAGCAUUGAAUUGAAGCCCCAGUGAACGGCGGCCGUAACAAUAACGGUCCUAAGGUAGCGAAAUUCCUUGUCAGGUAAGUUCUGACCCGCAUGAAAGGCGUAAUGAUCUGGGCACUGUCUCAACAGCCCGCCCGGCGAAAUUGUAGUACCGGUGAAGAUGCCGGUUACCCGCGACAAGACGGAAAGACCCCAUGGAGCUUUACCGUAGCCUGAUAUUGGGUUUCGGUGUUGCAUGCACAGGAUAGAUGGGACACUGGGAAGCGAGCGCUUUGGCGUUCGUGGAGUGGACGUUGGGAUACCAUCCUUGCGACAUUGGAAUUCUAACCUGCGCCUCUGAAUCGAGGCGGGGGACAUUGUCAGGUGGGCAGUUUGACUGGGGCGGUCGCCUCCUAAAAAGUAGCGGAGGCGUUCAAAGGUUCGUUCGAUCUGGACGGAAACCAGAUGAAUGAGUGCAAACGCAUAAACGAGCCUGACUGCGAGACUGACGGGUCGAGCAGAGACGAAAGUCGGAGUUAGUGAUCCGGUGGUAUGUGAGUGGAAAUGCCAUCGCUCAACGGAUAAAAGUUACCCUGGGAUAACAGGCUGAUCUCCCCCAAGAGUCCACAUCGACGGGGAGGUUUGGCACCUCGAUGUCGGCUCAUCGCAUCCUGGGGCUGAAUUCGGUCCCAAGGGUUUGGCUGUUCGCCAAUUAAAGCGGUACGCGAGCUGGGUUCAGAACGUCGUGAGACAGUUCGGUCUCUAUCUGUCGUGGGCGCAGGAUAUUUGAAAGGCGCUGUCCCUAGUACGAGAGGACCGGGAUGGACGAACCUCUGGUGCACCAGUUGUCACGCCAGUGGCACAGCUGGGCAGCUAUGUUCGGAUCGGAUAAACGCUGAAAGCAUCUAAGCGUGAAGCCGGCCUUAAGAUAAGAUAUCCCACUGAGUCAAUCAGGUAAGACCCCUUGAAGACUACAAGGUUGAUAGGCACACAGUGUAAGCGGAGUGAUCCGUUCAGCUAGCGUGUACUAAUAGGUCGAGGGCUUGACCU
rnacentral:rRNA from 1 species